AACGAACGCUGGCGGCGUGUCUUAAGCAUGCAAGUCGAGCGGCAAGGGCAGCAAUGCCCCUAGAGCGGCGGACUGGUGAGUAACGCGUGGAUGAUCUGCCCAUUGGUUGGGGAUAGCCAUUAGAAAUAGUGGGUAAUACCGAAUACGACCGUCAGGCUACGGCCUGACGAUGAAAGGCGCUACGGCGCCGCCAUAGGAUGAGUCCGCGUCCCAUUAGCUAGUUGGUGGGGUAAGAGCCUACCAAGGCGAUGAUGGGUAGCCGGCCUGAGAGGGUGUACGGCCACACUGGGACUGAGAUACGGCCCAGACUCCUACGGGUGGCAG
rnacentral:rRNA from 1 species